UAUGGAACCACCAAAUGAUAGCCUUAUGCGCAGAUCCCCAGUUGGCUGAAGGGAAUCUCUUAUAACUAAUGUCAUGUGGAGGAACUUGAUCAUACAGGCUAUCUAUCAAGUGACCAUUCUUCUCAUUCUUAAUUUCGGUUGGCAAAGUAUUAAUCUAGGUGAUGAUCAAGAUUCUAAAUCUCACUCCUUACAAGUGAAGAAUACUUUAAUAUUCAACACAUUCGUUCUAUGCCAAAUAUUUAACGAGUUUAAUGCUAGAAAAAUAGAUCAAAUGAAUGUCUUCAAGGGAGUGACUAAAUCGUCUC